GAUGAAGACGUAGCGAAAUGCGAUAAGUAAUGUGAAUUGCAGAAUUCAGUGAAUCAUCGAAUCUUUGAACGCACAUUGCGCCCGCCAGUAUUCUGGCGGGCAUGCCUGUUCGAGCGUCAUUACAACCCUCAGGCCCCCGGGCCUGGCGUUGGGGAUCGGCGGAGCCCCCCGUGGGCACACGCCGUCCCCCAAAUGCAGUGGCGGUCCCGCCGCAGCUUCCAUCGCGUAGUAGCUAACACCUCGCAACUGGAGAGCGGCGCGGCCACGCCGUAAAACACCCAACUUCUGAAUGUUGACCUCGAAUCAGGUAGGAAUACCCGCUGAACUUAAGCAUAUCAAUAAGCGGAGGA
rnacentral:misc_RNA from 1 species